rnacentral:rRNA from 1 species
CCUACGGGAGGCAGCAGUAGGGAAUAUUGGACAAUGGGUGCGAGCCUGAUCCAGCCAUGCCGCGUGCAGGAAGAAGGCCUUCUGGGUUGUAAACUGCUUUUGCCGGGGGAUAAAAGACCCAUGCGUGGGGAAUUGAAGGUACCCGGUGAAUAAGCCACGGCUAACUACGUGCCAGCAGCCGCGGUAAUACGUAGGUGGCGAGUGUUGUCCGGAUUUAUUGGGUUUAAAGGGUGCGUAGGCGGCCCCGUAAGUCAGUGGUGAAAUACGGCAGCUCAACUGUCGAGGUGCCAUUGAUACUGCGGGGCUUGAGUACAGUCGAGGUAGGCGGAAUUGACGGUGUAGCGGUGAAAUGCUUAGAUAUCGUCAAGAACACCGAUAGCGAAGGCAGCUUGCUAGGCUGUAACUGACGCUGAGGCACGAAAGUGCGGGGAUCAAGCAGGAUUAGAUACCCUGGUAGUCCGCACAGUAAACGAUGGUCACUCGGUGUUGGCGGUACACGGCCAGCGCCUUAGCGAAAGCGUUAAGUGACCCACCUGGGGAGUACGCCCGCAAGGGUGAAACGUUAAAUGAAUUGACGG